rnacentral:rRNA from 1 species
AGAAAGCGAACAAAGAGCGUAUGGGGGAUGCCUAGGCUCUCAGAGAAGACGAAGGACGUGAUAAGCUGCGAAAAGCUACGAUGAGUCGCAAAUAGACGUUAAGAAUCGUA